UUACAAUGAUGAACUUUUUUUAUCCCGAAUCUGAAUCACUGAUGAUCCAAAACUUUACGGAUCUGAUUUCUGAGUU
rnacentral:snoRNA from 1 species